GAUGAACGCUGACAGAAUGCUUAACACAUGCAAGUCUACUUGAACUUCGGUUUGGGUGGCGGACGGGUGAGUAACGCGUAAAGAACUUGCCUCACAGAUAGGGACAACAUUUGGAAACGAAUGCUAAUACCUGAUAUUAUGAUUUUAGGGGAUCCUAGAAUUAUGAAAGCUAUAUGCACUGUGAGAGAGCUUUGCGUCCCAUUAGCUAGUUGGAGAGGUAACGGCUCACCAAGGCGAUGAUGGGUAGCCGGCCUGAGAGGGUGAUCGGCCACAAGGGGACUGAGACACGGCCCUUACUCCUACGGGAGGCAGCAGUGGGGAAUAUUGGACAAUGGACCAAGAGUCUGAUCCAGCAAUUCUGUGUGCACGAUGAAGUUUUUCGGAAUGUAAAGUGCUUUCAGUUGGGAAGAAAAAAAUGACGGUACCAACAGAAGAAGUGACGGCUAAAUACGUG
rnacentral:rRNA from 1 species